rnacentral:rRNA from 1 species
GGGAAUAUUGGACAAUGGGCGCAAGCCUGAUCCAGCAAUGCCGCGUGGAUGAAGAAGGUUUUCGGAUUGUAAAGUCCUUUCGGCGGGGACGAUGAUGACGGUACCCGCAGAAGAAGCCCCGGCUAACUUCGUGCCAGCAGCCGCGGUAAUACGAAGGGGGCUAGCGUUGCUCGGAAUGACUGGGCGUAAAGGGCGCGUAGGCGGAGUGCUUUGUCGGGCGUGAAAUUCCAGGGCUUAACCUUGGGGCUGCGUUCGAGACGGGUAUUCUAGAGUGGAGCAGAGGGUCGUGGAAUUCCCAGUGUAGAGGUGAAAUUCGUAGAUAUUGGGAAGAACACCGGUGGCGAAGGCGGCGACCUGGUCUUUUACUGACGCUGAGGCGCGAAAGCGUGGGGAGCAAAC